GUGGGGAAUAUUGGGCAAUGGGGGAAACCCUGACCCAGCAACGCCGCGUGAGGGAAGAAGGUUUUCGGAUUGUAAACCUCUGUUCUUGGUGAAGAGAAGAAGACGGUAGCCAAGGAGGAAGCCCCGGCUAACUACGUGCCAGCAGCCGCGGUAAUACGUAGGGGGCAAGCGUUGUCCGGAAUGAUUGGGCGUAAAGGGCGCGUAGGCGGCUGAUCAAGUCAGUAGUGGAAGUCCAUAUUUCAAGUAUGGAAGUGCUAUUGAAACUGAACAGCUUGAGUGCAGGAGAGGUUAUCGGAAUUCCCGGUGUAGCGGUGAAAUGCGUAGAGAUCGGGAGGAACACCAGUGGCGAAGGCGGGUAACUGGACUGCAACUGACGCUGAGGCGCGAAAGUGUGGGGAGCAAACAGGAUUAGAUACCCUAGUAGUCC
rnacentral:rRNA from 1 species